AAAGAUUGAUUAAAUUGAUUAUUAUUCGUUUAAGUUUUAAUGACCAUACCGAUAGUGUACCUCAUGAAGUAAUUCUUAUCUAUUUAUGUCAACAGUAGAGAGACAGGCAAUAAAGGACAGCAACAUCAGAGACAGACAAUGGAGGGCAGCAACAGAGACAAUGGAACAUAGCAACAGACAACUGAGUGGGGAGCAACAGACGAACAAAUAAGGACAGCAACAACAGACUCACAACAAACUUAUAAUGAAUAAAAUAUGUCUAAAUUAAAA